rnacentral:rRNA from 1 species
CCUACUGGUGACAUCAUUGGGGCAUCUUGCACAAUGGGCGCAAGCCUGAUGCAGCAAUGCCGCGCGUCUUCCUCCUUCCUUCUUUUUUUCCCUUCCUUUCCUCUUUUCUUACUGGAGUGAGGUUAAUAACCUCAUUCAUUGACGUUACCCGCAGAAGAAGCACCGGCUAACUCCGUGCCAGCAGCCGCGGUAAUACGGAGGGUGCAAGCGUUAAUCGGAAUUACUGGGCGUAAAGCGCACGCAGGCGGUCUGUCAAGUCGGAUGUGAAAUCCCCGGGCUCAACCUGGGAACUGCAUUCGAAACUGGCAGGCUGGAGUCUUGUAGAGGGGGGUAGAAUUCCAGGUGUAGCGGUGAAAUGCGUAGAGAUCUGGAGGAAUACCGGUGGCGAAGGCGGCCCCCUGGACAAAGACUGACGCUCAGGUGCGAAAGCGUGGGGAGCAAACAGGAUUAGAGACAAGUGUAGUC